rnacentral:rRNA from 1 species
UACGAGAGGCCCAAACGUUAUUCGGAAUUACUGGGCUUAAAGAGUUCGUAGGCGGCGCGGAAAGUAGGGUGUGAAAGCCCUCGGCUCAACCGAGGAAUUGCGCUCUAAACUACCGUGCUUGAGGAAGCUAGAGGUGAGCAGAACUGAUGGUGGAGCGGUGAAAUGCGUUGAUAUCAUCAGGAAUACCGGAGGCGAAGGCGGCUCACUGGGGGUUUUCUGACGCUGAGGAACGAAAGCCAGGGGAGCAAACGGG